rnacentral:rRNA from 1 species
UACGUAGGGUGCGAGCGUUAAUCGGAAUUACUGGGCGUAAAGCGUGCGCAGGCGGUCUGUUAAGACAGAUGUGAAAUCCCCGGGCUUAACCUGGGAACUGCAUUUGUGACUGGCAGGCUAGAGUAUGGCAGAGGGGGGGUAGAAUUCCACGUGUAGCAGUGAAAUGCGUAGAGAUGUGGAGGAAUACCGAUGGCGAAGGCAGCCCCCUGGGUCAAGAUUGACGCUCAUGCACGAAAGCGUGGGGAGCAAACAGG